AACCCAACCAGCUUGAAAAGCAACUCUGUGUUUUUGGUUUCAGAACAGGUGAUCAGCGUUGGGUUAAUCAACUCUGAGUAUGUUCACUCUGGGUUGAGGGCGUGCCUGUUGACUAUAAAGAGCCAUCAUCAAUGGAUCUCUGAUAACAUGAUCAAACAUGGACCAAAAGCGUAGAUCCACUUACUUUCUCCCACGGAAUUGGAAAUUCUUAUGAACGCGUAUGCCGAGCAGUUACCCAGAGAGAGCUUGGCCUGAAAUAGCUGAACAAGUCAAUGCGUGAGUAAAAUAAAUUAGUAAAAUAAAAUAAAAUAAGAGGAAAGUUUAAUAUCUUCCACUUAUUCAAUAUAUAAAUUGUGUGUAUGCGUGUGUGUGUCAAUUUACGCAACCCCGAGUUGCCCCAAGAGGACUUGGCAGCAAAUGAAGAUGAAGUACAAAAAUAUAGUUGAAACAGCAAAUCGAAAAAAUGCAGAGGCCCGGCAGACUGGAGGGGGUCCACCACCUGCAGCCCUCACAGAGGCUGAGGAGAUGGCCCUCAGCCAACAGAGUAUGCGUCCUGUGGCUGAGGGCAUCCCUGGGGGGAGCUCCUCUGAUCCCUCCCACCCCCCAGGAUAGAAGUGCCUUUACAGUAUAAGAGUUACUGAUGGCGUCAUCGCCCUACUUGAACCAGAUGCCCUCACCAACCUCCAUGCAAUUGUAACAAUUCAAAAGAUGCAAAAGGAUGCUUUGGAGAUCCAAAUUUUGGAACAUAAGUUAUAGGUGGGUGAGGUGCAAACUGGGAUAGGCUACUCUUCCCUGCUCUAAAAACAUACCCAAUAUAAAUGACUUUUUUAUUUGUGCUUUCAGGAAAUAAAAAAAUCCUCAUAAUAAUUAGAUUGUCUUUAUUAGAACACGGGCUGUGGUGAGACAAGUUAUUUUGUUGAACAGUUUACUCAAAGGGUUUUACUUCAGUGAACAAUGCAGACGAUUAUGCUGAGCAUGUGCAUGUAGAGAAGAACAGCAUCUGGUUAAAAGCAGUACCAGGGUCUUUUCUGCGUUGCAUUCUUAAAAUGAGUUUCUUGACUUGCAGCAGUUAUAGGUCCGUGGUUAGUCAGCUACUCUGAUCAUGGGAAAGCCACAACGUUGAAGUGACUGUAGUACAGAGCAGGUGGGAUGCACGGGGCGGAUCAUUCUCAGGAAAUACCUAUCCAACCGGGGUCUUAAUAAUCGUUCCUCACGGAGAUUCCUUCUGAGGAUCGCAGCCUCUACGUCCACAGGCUCUCGUAGAAAAGGACAUGCCAUUUCUAACACUUCCUUCUGUCGGAGAGCUGCCUUCAGCCUUACAGACAACAAACUCAGAGUAGGUCUAACCACCUCCCGAGCAGGUUAGGUCCACGGCGUAUGUUGCCGCAGCAACUAACUCUCGGUUGCGCUGAACCUGCUACCUGAAACGGAAAACCCAGAGUUUCCACUAACUCAGAGCGAACAAACUCGGGGUUGCCUCAAAACCAGCUACCUGAAACAGGGCUCAGGAGAUUAAAUACGAUAGCGUCGGAUAGCGUCAUCUUUGCUAGCCAGCAACGUUAUUGAUGAAUGAGAGGCGUGAUCCUUUUCUCGUAAACGAGAUCCUUAUGUCGUAAAUAUGAUAUCUUAUCUCGUAAUUACGAGAUCUUUAUCUCAUAAUUACGAGAUCCGUAUCUCGUAAUUACGAGAUCUUUUCUCGUAAUUACAAGAUCCUUAUCUCGUAAUUACGAGAUAUUAUCUCGUAAUUAAGAGAUCCUGAGUGUGCUAACGGCUACAUUAGCUGUGAAACUUUUUUUUAUUUGGUGAAUGCUCAGCGCCACCGUACCUUUCACUUUCACCAAACGAAAAUGUUAUAACUUUGUCACACAUAGCUAGAAGUAUUAGUUUGGAUUUUUAUGAAUGCUUUUAUCCAUAUGCUUAUUGUUGUAUUGUUGACAAUGACCUGUAUUUCCUAUGAGACCCACCAAGGUGAAUGCCGUUUCAGUAUUAUGGGGACGCGUGGUGGUUUAUCUCCAAUAUGGAGUUUUUUCCACUUCGAUCGGUGGUGUUGAUGAUUUGUUAUACUUUGACUAUGUUUUCGGUGUGGUAAAUGGUGUUUAUUACUUACAAUUUUAUUGUAUGGUCAUCUGAAAUGACCAAGGAGGGAUUGUUACGUAUUUUAAGAACAUAAGCUGCCUCCACAUAGCCUCUAGGAAGCAGAUUCAAACACACAAGCUGCAUUACCCUCACAUAGCCACUAGGAAGCAGGAUCGAACACUUAAAGGCAUAUUGUACGGGAUCAAGUAAUAUGCACUUUUUAAUAUGUUGUUGAAAUUGGUUUUUACAUCCUGACAGCAAUAAAUAACUUAUGGGCAAUGAAAAAGAAGCGAAAAAAAAACGAAUUUUGUAUCUGCUAUAAAAAUGCUGUUAAAAUGCUUACCAAUCGGAGACACUGUGCCCGGAUCUAAAGAACCGAUCACAAGCCUGCGCGUUCUCUCCCCUCUGUGUACGAGCCUGAGCCGGCCCGAGCGCGUUCACGGAGGGCAAAGAAAGCGUUGUUGUCAUAGUAGUUCAUGACAGUGGACUAGUAGACCUAGUGAGCCUACAACGUUUACACAAUGGAAGAGAAACAACUGAAGUUACCACUGCCACCGUUACUUGCCCCGGUUCAUCCUUUUAAAAAGGCAAGAAAAAGAAAGACAGAAACUGAAAAGGCAGCAACAAAAAAGAAGUUGGAGACUGCUCGAGGAAAAACGAGAAUAGAUAUUGGAUUAGGUUUUCAGCGAUGGCGACAGCUGAGGGAGUUCAAUGGCCUGAAAAGUGACGCAAUGGUUGCCGUUGAAGUAAGCCGUAAGCAGCAGCAGCGCUCGUGCACGGCUCUGUGUCGAGGGGUGGGGGCAGGGAGUCCUGAAGGGUGGGGGAGGAGUUAAACGGAACUCCGAAGAGAAGCUAAUUUCAAAUCAUGCUAGCUCUCUCACAUCGUACAGUAUAGCUUUAAGCUGCAAUAACUACUUUAGCCACAGAUAGCAGCACCUUUAGACAGGGGCGGAGCCAUUACGUCACCCGGCUACGCCCACUGCAUAGGCCACGCCCACUUGACGUCCUCUAGCGGGUGAUUCGAAGUGAAGAGGCCAGAGAUCUUAGGUACACCCGCAGAGAGACAUGGGCUUUUGCCCGUGGCUCGAAGUAGCUCCCGUUAUUUCUCUCACACUUGCAUUAAAUACAUCCAAGCUGCAACGUACUAUUUUCUCUUAAGGUUUGGCCUCACUUGGCUUCCUCAAAAAAAAUCCCCACGCCACGCCACUGCUGCCUCCUCUCCUUUGACCUGUCCGGCCUAGUUAAACUUGCCAGGGAUAUAAAAUAAUUUACAUAAAAUCAUUAUAAAAUCAUUUAUAUAAAAUCAUUUACAUUUAAUUAUAUAUUUGUUCAUAUUCUUGCCCAUGGUUCUUAUUGAACUCAAUACUGAAUAAUUUGCUUCCUCCUUCCUAUUAGCACACCUAACCGAGACAUGUAUGCAGACUUCCAGGUCAGAGGCCAAAUAGUCUCGCAAAGCCAGACCAAACUACAGCAAGUAGAAUGGUCCGGAACCACGCUAUUUAGAGCCGUCUAUCCGGGGGGAAACUGGGCUGGCCUGUUGUUAUUUCUUUAAACCAAUCACAAUCGUCUAGGGCGGGGCUAACCCCGGGGAGCAGCAGCAGUGUCCAUCAGUAAUAGUGCAAGAACAUCUUUCUUCCUCAGCAAAUGCUGUAUGCAAAUCUUUUGAAGUUCUUUAAAAUUUUCGACUGAAAGAGCCAAACAUGCUAUUUUUACAGCGCCGUCAAAGUCCUCUUCAAAACUCGCCAUACUGCCUAGUUUCCGAGUUUGAGGGGGAGCACAAUAUGGGAAAGCCAGCAACAGGAAGAGGAGGAGUAGCGGUGGAAUCCGACGCUAGCGCUAUAGACGGCGACGCUGUUCAUUUCCGCUCAGCCAGACUGAGAGGCCGAAUAGUAAAUGGAAUAUUUGGUUUUCUUCCUGUGCUGCCGCACUUUUCCCUAACCAGCAACACAAUUUGAACAAUAAUCAAAUAUGAGGAGAAUAUAUUGAUAAAUGGUCCUAAAUUAUGAAAAAACGGAUACCAUGUUGCACAUUUAUGCCGUUGUAGAUAGGAAGUCCUAAUACACCCCUCUCUUUGAGGAAGUGAAGUAGAAGUAAGUGCCACCCUGUUCCGCUUAUUUAAAUCAUACACUGGGGGCUGACAGCGGCCAUUAGAGAACUGAGGGGGAAUCUGAGACGAUGGAAAGUUAUUAUUUUCCAGUUGUCCAUUACAUGAUUUGCACUGGAAGCAUCGAUGAAAACAAUAGCUUGUGUGUGUGUGUGUGUGUGUGUGUGUGUGUUCUCAAGAGAGAGGGAUGGAUGGGGCGGAUUCAAACAAGGAGAGGGAGAAAGCUAAUUAAAUUAGCCCAAUGGAGUCUGUUUCUCUCAUCAUCGACAUAAAGCAUAGUUGGUUAAACACUUUGUGGACAAUCCCUAUCAUGGUGGACCGACUGCAAUCUCUUCUCAAACUGAAGUGAGGCUGACAGGUCGACGGCGGCCAUAUCUGAGUAGGCCUAGAAGUAAGCUUAUCGGCCUUAUAGGCCACAUUUUAUUUCCUCAUUCACAAUUUAGCUCCAGAGGAAAGUUGAUGGUUUGUCACCGUUUGUUGAAGAGAGUCUUUGAUCAUUCGCUCUUUUAGCGGUUAUUUUUUUUCCCAGACUUUCUCUUCAGUGCUCGUAUCCAGGCGGGCAGGGAGGG
ensembl:lncRNA